rnacentral:rRNA from 1 species
UAGGGAAUCUUCCACAAUGGACGCAAGUCUGAUGGAGCAACGCCGCGUGAGUGAAGAAGGUCUUCGGAUCGUAAAACUCUGUUGUUAGAGAAGAACGUGUGUGAGAGUGGAAAGUUCACACAGUGACGGUAACUUACCAGAAAGUCACGGCUAACUACGUGCCAG